rnacentral:lncRNA from 1 species
AUGACAACAACAUUUGUUCAUCACACAAAGAUAAAGCUGGCCACUGACUGCGCUUCCCCCUCCCCUCGCCCAACCACAAGCAGAACAGGCAGGAUGUCGAACAAAGAAACAGCAGAAGCAGCAACGAGCAUUACGUUCAGAUUAGAGGACAUUCAGGGAUCCAUGUGGAAAGUUCCAAAAACCUUAAGAAAACAAACCCAAGCAACAAAAUAGGUUAAACAACUGGCAUAUGAGUUGCAUCUAGACACCUCCUAAUAACAUGAAGAUAAACUUCUCAUCCAGAUUAUUCAAUUUAUAUAGGGUGAGAUUUAGAUUCACAAUUCUAGAUGAGAACAUUUUUGCUCCUGAUGGAUGCACAAGAAAUACCUGCCACUUGAGUGUCAGACUGUGUUCAAGCCUGCACCAUUCUGUGGAAGCAAAUGAAGAUGAAGGAAAUUUUUCUUCUCCCCAGAGGUCUGAGCCACAGUAACAGUAAACCUGUUGACUUCCAUGAGUUCUUGAUGAAGCUCCCUAUGGUGGAGGUGCUUUUGCACUGCAGCCAGUGAGAAUGAGGAUCUACUGCUAACUCUCCUCAUGUAUCACUGUGACUUGUCUCUUAUCCACACUUGCAGUGAAUCCAAGAGCAGUUUCAUAUAGUGCUUACCACAGACAGAAGACUAAUAUGGGUUUUAACACUUACCUAAACUGUUUAUACGGCCAUCUUGAAUAAAGCAAAUUUGUUUGUCA